rnacentral:rRNA from 1 species
AUUGAACGCUGGCGGCAGGCUUAACACAUGCAAGUCGAACGAGUGGCGGACGGGUGAGUAAUGCUUGGGAAUCUAGCUUAUGGAGGGGGAUAACUACGGGAAACUGUAGCUAAUACCGCGUACCAUAGGAUGAGCCCAAGUGGGUUUCGGUAGUUGGUGAGGUAUAGGCUCACCAAGCCGACGAUCGCUAGCUGGUCUGCGAGGAUGACCAGCAACAAUGGGACUGAGAAACGGCCCAGACUCCGACGGGAGGAAGCAGUGGGGAAUAUUGCGCAAUGGGGGCAACCUGACGCAGCCAUGCCGCGUGAAUGAAGAAGGCCUUCGGGUUGUAAAGUUCUUUCGGUAGCGAGGCGUUAACUACAGAAGAAGCACCGGCUAACUCCGUGCCAGCAGCCGCGGUAAUUC